rnacentral:rRNA from 1 species
AAAAGGUGGUAAUGCCGGAUGCUCCAGUUGAUCGCAUGGUCUUCUGGGAAAGCUUUCGCGGUAUGGGAUGGGGUCGCGUCCUAUCAGCUUGACGGCGGGGUAACGGCCCACCGUGGCUUCGACGGGUAGCCGGCCUGAGAGGGCGACCGGCCACAUUGGGACUGAGAUACGGCCCAGACUCCUACGGGAGGCAGCAGUGGGGAAUAUUGCACAAUGGGCGCAAGCCUGAUGCAGCGACGCCGCGUGAGGGAUGGAGGCCUUCGGGUUGUAAACCUCUUUUAUCGGGGAGCAAGCGAGAGUGAGUUUACCCGUUGAAUAAGCACCGGCUAACUACGUGCCAGCAGCCGCGGUAAUACGUAGGGUGCAAGCGUUAUCCGGAAUUAUUGGGCGUAAAGGGCUCGUAGGCGGUUCGUCGCGUCCGGUGUGAAAGUCCAUCGCUUAACGGUGGAUCCGCGCCGGGUACGGGCGGGCUUGAGUGCGGUAGGGGAGACUGGAAUUCCCGGUGUAACGGUGGAAUGUGUAGAUAUCGGGAAGAACACCA